CCCCCCCGGCCCCACCGACGCCUUCGACUUCCAGCCGGAUUUGAGCUCCAGAAUUUUCCCCCAAGCCCGAGACCCCUCCGGGCCCAUCCUGGGGGGCUUCGGGCCCGGCAGGAACAAGGUCCCCUCCCCCUGCCCUGGCCUGGACAGGGGGGUUUUGGGGCCCCCCCUGGCCCCGUUUUUCUCGGGCUCCCCCAGUUCCUGCUUCUCCAGCGGCCUCCAGGCUGGGCUCAGCCAGAGCCACCUCAGCAAGACCAUUGGGAUCCCCCCGAACUCCCUGGACACCGUCCUGACCUUGG